GACGUAGGGCGCAAGCGUUGUCCGGAUUUAUUGGGCGUAAAGAGCUCGUAGGCGGCCUGUCGCGUCGACUGUGAAAACCCGCAGCUUAACUGCGGGACUGCAGUCGAUACGGGCAGGCUAGAGUUCGGUAGGGGAGACUGGAAUUCCUGGUGUAGCGGUGAAAUGCGCAGAUAUCAGGAGGAACACCGAUGGCGAAGGCAGGUCUCUGGGCCGCAACUGACGCUGAGGAGCGAAAGCAUGGGGAGCGAACAGG
rnacentral:rRNA from 1 species